GAUGAAGAACGCAGCGAAAUGCGAUAAGUAAUGUGAAUUGCAGAAUUCAGUGAAUCAUCGAAUCUUUGAACGCACAUUGCGCCCCCUGGUAUUCCGGGGGGCAUGCCUGUCCGAGCGUCAUUACAACCCUCAAGCUCAGCUUGGUGUUGGGCCCCGCCGCCCCGGCGGGCCCUAAAGUCAGUGGCGGUGCCGUCCGGCUCCGAGCGUAGUAAUUCUUCUCGCUCUGGAGGUCCGGUCGUGUGCUCGCCAGCAACCCCCAAUUUUUUUCAGGUUGACCUCGGAUCAGGUAGGGAUACCCGCUGAACUUAAGCAUAUCAUAAGCGGGGA
rnacentral:misc_RNA from 1 species